GAGGGCAUAGCUCAAGUGGUAGAGCUCGUGUUUAGCGUGCACAAGGUCCUGGGUUCAAUUCCCAGUACCUCCU
rnacentral:tRNA from 1 species